rnacentral:rRNA from 1 species
AACGAACGCUGGCGGCAUGCCUAACACAUGCAAGUCGAGCGGAGCGAGGGUGCUUGCACCUUAGCUUAGCGGCGGACGGGUGAGUAAUGCUUAGGAAUCUGCCUAUUAGUGGGGGGCAACAUUCCGAAAGGAAUGCUCAUACCGCAUACGCCCUACGGGGGAAAGCAGGGAAUCUUCGGACCUUGCGCUAAUAGAUGAGCCGAGGGCGGAUUAGCUAGUUGGUGGGGUAAAGGCCUACCAAGGCGACGAUCUGUAGCGGGUCUGAGAGGAUGAUCCGCCACACUGGGACUGAGACACGGCCCAGACUCCUACGGGAGGCAGCAGUGGGGAAUAUUGGACAAUGGGCGGAAGCCUGAUCCAGCCAUGCCGCGUGUGUGAAGAAGGCCUUUUGGUUGUAAAGCACUUUAAGCGAGGAGGAGGCUACUAGUAUUAAUACUACUGGAUAGUGGACGUUACUCGCAGAAUAAGCACCGGCUAACUCUGUGCCAGCAGCCGCAGUAA